ensembl:lncRNA
CUUCCCAGGUCCUGGCUGGGUGUGCAGGCGGCCACUGUAAAGCCCUGCUUCCUCUCUCUGGGGCCGCAGUGUUGACAGAGAGCAUCUGGGCCCUGGGAGAGCUUCCAGCCGGGGCUUGGCCUACGGUCCACACACACACAUGUGCAUCAAUACACACUCGCAUGCGUGCUGGCUCCGGCGUGGGCCGAAUAUAUACGCAUCAAAACGUUUCACACUGACCCUGGAGCACGCUUGGAUCUCCUCGUCGCACCCAUUUUUUGAGCCUCAAGCACCCUGGCGCAGUCGCUUAUUGGUCAAUGGAGGGUUUUGAUGGGUGUUUCUUUAAAUCUCCCCUGCUUUGAUUUAACAAGGGAAGGAAUGUUGUUGAGAAAGAGAGAGAGGUGGGGCGGUCAAUCCAGAGACAUGGCUUGGUGGGGUGAGGUGGGCUGUAAUAAAUAGUCCAAUGCAUAGGGUCGGGGUCUUGCGUAUGCCAGGCCCGGGGGGAUUCAGUGUGGGGGCGAUGAUGAGUAACAAAGCCACUAAAGGGUUUAGAGGCGAGGAGGAAGGAGAGUCUGGUUCACCUGCUUUGGAACUCGGCCCUCGCACUGAGAUCUCCAUUGUAUCUAGCCAGGCGGAGCUGUUAGAAACUCUAUACCUGCCUUUAAGCAGGGAGGGAGGGCAGCCAAGAAUUAACUGCUGCCUCAUCCUGGCACCUGGCAAGCCUCCUGUCUGCCUCCUUUCACGGCAAGUAUGAGAGGGCUAAAAGGAGGAAUGGGUAAAAGAAAAUGGAAGGGGGGGAAGAUAAAGCAUGGAGAAUACAUGGAAUACUUGGGAAAAUACCAAUUGAUCGGUGGGAUUAGCUGCCGGGAUGCUAGCAUAUGCAAGUAACCAUAGCCAAGUAAACGCACACUAAGCCAGUUGGAAAAUAGUCGACAUUUGUUUGCCGACAGGUUUUUAGUUUUGUUUGGUUUGUCUUUCAAUGGCUCCACUCAUUCCAGGGAAAGCCAAGAUGGUCCUUUUGUCAGCUUCUGACAGGCAGUAUGUAAUGUUUGUCAUGGUUUAUUGCCUCGUACCCGGGGCAGGCCGAGGAUUUGAUUACGCUCCCCCGUGGUCUCCCCCAGCCUCUGAUGAGGACAGUGUGUAACCCAAGCCCCCCUCACACCUCCAGAGGCCAGGGCGGUCCAAGGAGAGGCCGGAGAACAGGUGCUGACCCUGUGCAGGCCUGGGAGUGUAUUAUUGAAUAGGGUCCAGUGGCCAGAUUGAUUGCUUUAUUGUAUUGCCAUGAACCUCAGCGGCCAGAGACCUCUGGUUGACCCCAGCCGGACGGAGCGUUGCUGUGACCCUCACCUUAGCUAAAGAGUUAUGUGGCUUUGACCUGCUUCCCCAUGCCGGGGUCUUGACCCGGGUCCCCUGCUGGCUGGACUGCAGGGCUAAUGGGUGCCUCUCCUCUUUUCUC